rnacentral:misc_RNA from 1 species
CAUCAGCGGCGGAACGCUGACAUACAGGAGGUAGAAGACCACCAGGGUCAGGAUCGUGUUGAAGGGGCCGGAGAAGAGAUUCUCCCGAACCCAGGCGAUUGGCCCGCGGGCCAGAUUGGGCGGAGGCAUGGCCUCCACCUGCCGGGCACGGACGAAACGGGGC